UUUCCCGAAUGUAUGUACUUUCAAUGGCAAGCUUCGCUGGAAUCGGAUUUAAUACAGGGACCCUCCCCCCUCCGCCACACAUACACACACACACGUACACACCACGCUUUCUCUUCCAGAGGGUCAUUUCACGCCAGCUGUACUUAAAGGCUUUGUUGAAAGAAGACCAUGAAAUGACAAAAUCCGAAGUCUUCACAGGGCGAGGUUGGGACGUCAAGGGUGUGCAAGUGUCUUAAAAUUGUGGAUUCGUCAACGGGAAUCAGGAUGGAAUUUAGCGCUUUUGGCUGCAUGAUAACGAAGCUAAGUUUAAGAGAACCGGACUCCCUGUAUAGAGAGGGGAGACAGAACUCUGGGGAAAACAGGAUGAUUGCGAGACCAGGACGAUGAUCUACAAAACCAAAACCAUGGUUUGCUGAGUUUUGGAAGAGAGUCUCUGUUGGUUCCCUGGGACUAUCCUGGGUCUGAGUUACUACUGCUUGGGAUGCUCCCGGGAACGUGCAUUGACAGAGCUAAAAGCAGAUUGAUAGAUGAAGCAUAAAACAAGACCAGAUGCUGUGGUUUCCAGGAUGCACUUGGCUUCCCAUCCUUUAUAACCUGGAGCAUUUAUUGCUGGCAUCCUUAGUCCACAUCAACCAAGGUGGUAUAAAAACAGCACUGCACUUGGUUUGCAUUCUGUGCCCUGAAGCAGAAAUGCCUUUAAUUGUUCAUUGUGAAAUAAACAGAUGUCUACUGGAGAAGAUUAUUAAAAACAUUUUGUGCACUUUGGGAGAACUAGAGGUCAGGACUGCUUGACCUAGCAUCUCAAAGGAAACCCAAGCCAACCCAGCUACCAAGGUGAACAAGGAAGAUGGUGGUCCUAUGAGCAACAGCAGCCAGUGGCCUGGCACUGCACCCUGCGAGGCAGCCAAGACCAAGGUACUAUGUCCAGGAAAGAAAUUUCAGAUAAGACUUAAGUCUCAGAGCUAAGUCAACAGGGAUUUGUUUGUUUUGUCCUUAGAAAAAUAGACUGUUUCUAUCCACUAGCUUUGUGCCUCCUCCCAAGUUCCCAGGCUUCAUAAAACUUAUGUUGAGGGUUUCAAGUAUUCCCAAAUUAAUUGUUAAGUACCACGACUUGUUCCUUAUUGACCUCCUUUUCCUCUAGAGCUUCCUGAAAUGUAAAACCUGUACAUCUUUUAAGAAGCACAACACACUUAAGUGUGACUAAGUAGCAAACCUCCACCAAAGAGAACUGUCUAUCAUAUUUAGAAAAGAUAAAAUUUCCCUUAUAAGCUAGGUCUGACAUUAGGUUUUUCUAUGGUGUUCUUUCUGAAGUUGCUGCAAGAUGGAAAAAUAUCAAUCACAACGAGAGUACCUUUUGAACUCAUUAAUCCUAAGACAUCAUUAACAGGAAGGCUUUAAUGCCUAGGAUCUAGAACUGCUUUGUCAUUAAGUAGAAUCAUGGAAAUUAAAUGGUGCCCCCGCCCCACCCCCCAUUGGGCCACUAGGUUAGGUUUAAAACAUUAAAUGUAAAUUAAGGAUACUAUAUUCAUGUGGUCGAAAAAUCGAAGGGCAUGAAGCAAUGGCAUAACAUACAAUGGGAAGUACGGCCCUUGGAGCUGUGGAACUUGGCAGUGCUGUAAAUGUCACCUUCCCACUUGUCUCAUAGCCAUAUCACUAUAUUAAUAAGGAAAAUCUUUUUUUUUUUUUUUUUGAAAGAGAGAGAUAGGGAGGGAGAUCAGUGGAGGGAAGGGCAGAUCUUAAGCAAGAUCCAUACUCAGUGUGGAGUCUGUCCCAGGGCUUGAACUCACAACCCUGAGAUUGCCACCUGAGCCAAGAUCAAGAAUCAGGUGCUCAACGACUGAGCCACCCAGAUGCCCCAUUAAGGAGAAUCUUGAAAUGUAGAGGCGAGUCGGAGGAAAAUGGAAAUAGAUUGGCAGGGAUGGCAAGAAAGAGGGCAGGAAAAGGAGAAUAGGAGGAUGGAAGGAAGAGGGUGUAGCCCAUUGGGGCUGAGACAACUAAUAGCUGGGUAGCUUCUAAGCAAUGGAAAUGUGCUUCUCACAGUUUGGGAAGCCGAAAGGCCGACAUCAGCCCGCCUGCAGGAUCGGGUUCUAUGGUGGGGGCGAGCUUCCUGAAUCCUGGAUGGCUGUCUCCCCCGGGGGAACCUCACCUGGCCUGGGGAAGGGAAGGGCGCCUUCCAGGCCUCCCGUCUAAGGGCACUUCUCCAUGUGUAAGGGCUCCACUCUUCUGACCCAAUCACCUCCCAAAGGCCCACCUCCUCUUACCGUUACCUUGGGGUUAGUUUCAACCUAAGUUUUGGAGGAGGACACCAACAUCAGUCCUCGGCCACCUGGGAGAACCAGGGCUGUACACAAAGGAUCAGCCUGGUCCCAGCCCUCUCUUGCAAUUGUCCUUUCAGGGGACGUGUAUUUGUGUAAGAAUGGAAGAGGAAGGAGCGCCUCGCUGGCUCAGUCAGCGGAGCGUGGGACUCUUGAUCUCAGGGGUGUGGGUGCGAGCACCGUAUCGGGUGUGGAGAUUACUUAAAAUAAAAUCUUGGGGCACCUGGGUGGCUCAGUCAGUUAAGCGUCUGACUCUUGAUUUUGGCUCAGGUCAUGAUCUCAGGGUUGUGGGAUGGAGCCCCGCCUCAGGCUCCACGCUCAGCGCAGAGUCUGCUUGAGAUCCUCCCUCUCCCUCUCCCGAGCUGACUCUCUCUCUAAAAUAAAUAAAACCUUUAAAAAAAAUCUUAAAAAAAAAAAAAAAAGAAUAGAAGAGGAAGAAAUGGGAAGAGUAAAAAAAAAAAAAAGACAUUUAUCUGGGGAAGUGUGUGAGUGAGCCACUGGGAAUUCUGCACCACGUGAAACUCUUGAAUAAAUUUGCUUGUAUUGCUUCCCCCCUAACCCCCCAAUAUCCCUUUUAUCUAGCCUCAGCCAAGUAUAUUUUAUUAUUUUGAGGUUUAGGCUUUAGGGAAGAGUUCAGAACUAGUAGGAGUCAAUAGUGGGAGAGAGGCAAGCAGGGUUUCUCCUACCAGGAACAAACUAACCUUCCUGUGGGGCGCUGGCCGCGUGCGGGGAGGUGGGUUCUGGGGUGUGCGAGCGGCUCCGUUUACACUGCUGCUGGCCCUACAGCAGGUGGCGGUGUUCCUUCUCUUCCCGGCAGCUUUGGCGUUCCCUCUUCUGUGUUUCAAUCCACAUGUAAAGGGCUGCCUCCCUGGCGCCCUUGGGAGAUGCUCCAGUGGUCCUGGCAUGAGGAGAAGCAAAUGGGCAACGUGUAGCAAUCCGUGGUUUUGUGUUUGGUCUGUAGAGCCCUGAUCUGGUCUAGAGAACCACCCCGCUUCAGGGGGAGACCGUGAGUGUCACUAAUCAUAUUGUGUACUCGCCCCCGUCUCCGCUGUACUAGACCCUAUUCGGAUCCUCAGGGAAGCUUCUUGCUCCCUUUGCUCACGCCUGUCCGAGGCUUGAGAAUACUAAUAAAAGCUCUCUCUAGCCAAAUUUCUCUCUAAUGAACGUGUUUGGAUUUUCAUCAAAAUGAGGUUUUCUUCCCAGCUUUAUUCACGAAUUAACCCAGGCUGUGAUCCAGGGUCCCUCACUGGGAAGCUACAUAAUCUGGGCAUAUAAACCCUCUGGGCUCCCGGUCAUCAUUUGUAAAAUGGGAUUGGUAAACUAAGGGACUUUUGAGGUUUCUCCUAGCUCUUAUACUCUUGGAUCCUCAAAUAGUCGGCCACUGCCCUGCGUGGUGGUUGUACUGUGAUACCGGAGGAGUAAUUCUGAUAUUUUCUUUGAGCAACUGCUUCAAAGCAAUGAGCAAAUAGCUUCAUGCUAUUAUUAAAUAGCAUGAAAAGUCAGAGUAGAUUGAGGGGAAACAGUUGAUCUGUGGAGAGGGGGUACUCAGGGUCAGGUACAGCAUGUCCACUACACUAGACACCACGUAUGACAGAUAUUCUCACGUAUUUCUGUGGUGCAGCAGACACUGGCCAUGCAUUCAGCCUUAAAUGCUAGAACUUCCUUAGCGUGCUCAUUUAUUUAAAAAUGAAAUCAGGGUUGGGCUGUCUCCCUGGUUUAGUUGAUAUUUUUCUGAUGACGGACAUUUGUUGAUUUUUAGACUCAAUUCUUCUAUUGGGUGAAAUUUUUUUUUUUUUUUUUUUUUACCUUAUGAAAACACUAAGCCAUCAUUGUAAAGAACUUUCAACCCAUACAGAAAGGAAGAAGUGGAAAGAAAAGUUCUCCCCCUGAAGCCCUCCCUCCCCAUCCUGUAGACAGAGAUAAGCAGUGUUAUCUUCUCGUUUAUCCUUUCUGAUAUUUUCCAUGGAUUUAUACAAACAUGGAUAUAUGUAUUAUCACUUCUGUUUUAUUUCAUUGAAUUUUCAUGAAUAAUUUUAUAGCACGUAUUAAUCCUAGAGUAGAAAUAUGCAUGUAACACAGAGGAGAGAGCCAGUGAAAAAAAUCAUAGGGUUAGGGAGCAAGAUAGAUGACAAACAGAAAAAAGUUUUUAAUCAAAUUGUCAUGAUAGCAAUGAUUUUUUUUUGUGAUUUAUUUAUUUGAGAGAGAGAGAACACAAGUAGGAAAAGGAACAAAGGGGAGGGAGAGAGAGAAUCCCAAGCAGACUCCCCACUGAGUGCAGAGCCCAGCGCAGGGCUGGAUCUCAGGACCCUGAGAUCACGACAUGAGCCGAAAUCAAGGGUCAGAUGCUUAACCGACCAAGUCACCCAGGCACCCAGAUAGCAAUGAUUCUUAAAUGAUGGAGGUUCUAGGAAGAAUUGACCAGGGAAGAUUGUCUGUUUUAAGGAGACAUUUCUAGGGGAGUGGGGUGUGGUCAUGGUGGUAGAGGGCCACCAGCAAUUACGCUGUCUCUCUCCAUGCUUCCUACUAAGAGGUAGAGUCUCUUUCUCCUCCCCGGAAUUCUUGACAGGCUCCAUUACUUGCUUUGGUCAAUAGAAUGCGGCAAAAAUGAUGCUAUUCCAGUUCUGGGCCUAGACCUGGCAACUUUAGUGUUUGCUUUCUUGGAUGAUAAGGAAGACUGACAACGGUGCUGAAGACAACAGCCUCAUGGAGGCAGUGAGACCUAAGGAAGGAGACAGGCCCAGCCCCUCACUAUUUCAGGCACUCCAGCUGGGCCCUAGCCCCGUGCUUGAUAUCAUCAUGGGUCCUCCAGCCCCAGUCAAGCCACCCCAGCCAACAGUACAUGAAGGAAAGACAAGCUGUCAUUGUGUUCUGUCCCUAGUGCAGAAUGGCGAGUGAGAGAACAGUCGAUGCUGUUGUAAGCUGCCAUGUUUCAGGGGUGGUGUAUUAUGCAUAAUAGAUAACGGAAAUCCAUGUCUGAAAGUUGGGUGUUGGCUUGAAAAAAAUCUAAGACACGUGGCAUUGGCUUUGGGACCAAGCAUUGGGUAGAGGUUGGAGAGGUGAUGAGGGAACUCUCUCUCUCUCUCUUUUAAAUUAACUAGUUAUUUUUUACUUUCUAUUUUUUUAAAAGAUUUUAUUUAUUCAUGAAAGACACACACACACACACACACAGAGGCAGAGACACAGGCAGAGGGAGAAGCAGGCUCCACACAGGGAGCCGGACGCGGGACUCAAUCCCGGGGUCUCCAGGAUCACGCCCUGGGCCGAAGGUGGCGCUAAACCGCUGAGCCACCAGGGCUGCCCUACUUUCUAUUUUGAAACAAUUUUAGACUUACACCAAAGUCGUAAAAAUGGUACAGAGGUCACGUGUGUUCUGCACCUAGCUGCCCUAAUAGUAAUAAAUGCAUAACCACAGAGUAAUGAUCAACACCCAGAAAUCAACAGAAGCUACAGCCCUGUAUGAA
rnacentral:lncRNA from 1 species